GGGGGUAUGGCUCAGUGGUAGGGUGCUUGCUUAGCAUGCACAAGGCCCUGGGUUCAAUUCCCAGCACCACAA
rnacentral:tRNA from 1 species